GAUGAACGCUAGCUACAGGCUUAACACAUGCAAGUCGAGGGGCAGCAUUAUCUUAGCUUGCUAAGAUAGAUGGCGACCGGCGCACGGGUGAGUAACACGUAUCCAACCUUCCGGUUACUCGGGGAUAGGCUUUCGAAAGAAAGAUUAAUACCCGAUGUUGCGUAUCUUUCUCCUGAAAGAUACGCCAAAGGAUUCCGGUAACCGAUGGGGAUGCGUUCCAUUAGGCAGUUGGCGGGGUAACGGCCCACCAAACCUUCGAUGGAUAGGGGUUCUGAGAGGAAGGUCCCCCACAUUGGAACUGAGACACGGUCCAAACUCCUACGGGAGGCAGCAGUGAGGAAUAUUGGUCAAUGGACGGAAAUCUGAACCAGCCAAGUAGCGUGAAGGAUGACUGCCCUCUGGGUUGUAAACUUCUUUUAUACGGGAAUAACAUGAGGUACGCGUACCUUAUUGCAUGUACCGUUAUGAAUAAGCAUCGGCUAACUCCGUGCCAGCAGCCGCGGUAAUACGGAGGAUGCGAGCGUUAUCCGGAUUUAUUGGGUUUAAAGGGAGCGUAGGUGGGAUAUUAAGUCAGCUGUGAAAGUUUGGGGCUCAACCUUAAAAUUGCAGUUGAUACUGGUUUCCUUGAGUACGGUACAGGUGGGCGGAAUUCGUGGUGUAGCGGUGAAAUGCUUAGAUAUCACGAAGAACUCCGAUCGCGAAGGCAGCUCACCGGGCCGGAACUGACACUGAUGCUCGAAAGUGCGGGUAUCAAACAGG
rnacentral:rRNA from 1 species